rnacentral:rRNA from 1 species
AUUGAACGCUGGCGGCAGGCCUAACACAUGCAAGUCGAACGAGUGGCGGACGGGUGAGUAAUGUCUGGGAAACUGCCCGAUGGUGGGGGAUAACUACUGGAAACGGUAGCUAAUACCGCAUACCAUCGGAUGUGCCCAGUUGGGAUUAGCUAGUAGGUGGGGUAAUGGCUCACCUAGGCGACGAUUCCUAGCUGGGCUGAGAGGCUGACCAGCCACCCUGGAACUAAGACACGGUCCAGCAUCCUACGCGAGGCAGCAGUGGGGCAUAUUGCGCAAUGGGUGCAAGCCUGAUGCAGCCAUGCCAGAUGUAUGAAGACGGCCUUCGGGUUGUAAAGUACUUUCAGCGAGGUGGCGUUACCCGCAGGAGAAGGACCGACUAAAUCCGUGCCAGCCGCCGCGGUAAUAC